GACGAACGCUGGCGGCGUGCUUAACACAUGCAAGUCGAACGGAAAGGCCCUGCUUGCAGGGUACUCGAGUGGCGAACGGGUGAAUAACACGUGGGUGAUCUGCCCUGCACUUCGGGAUAAGCCUGGGAAACUGGGUCUAAUACCGGAUAGGAGCCAUUUUUAGUGUGAUGGUUGGAAAGUUUUUUCGGUGUAGGAUGAGCUCGCGGCCUAUCAGCUUGUUGGUGGGGUAAUGGCCUACCAAGGCGGCGACGGGUAGCCGGCCUGAGAGGGUGGACGGCCACAUUGGGACUGAGAUACGGCCCAGACUCCUACGGGAGGCAGCGGUGGGGAAUAUUGCACAAUGGGCGCAAGCCUGAUGCAGCGACGCCGCGUGGGGGAUGACGGCCUUCGGGUUGUAAACUCCUUUCGCUAGGGACGAAGCUUUUUGUGACGGUACCUAGAUAAGAAGCACCGGCUAACUACGUG
rnacentral:rRNA from 1 species